rnacentral:rRNA from 1 species
UACGGAGGGUGCAAGCGUUAUCCGGAUUUACUGGGUUUAAAGGGUGUGUAGGCGGGCUAUUAAGUCAGUGGUGAAAUCUCCGGGCUCAACCCGGAAACUGCCAUUGAUACUAUUAGUCUUGAAUUUUGUUGAGGUAGGCGGAAUAAGUCAUGUAGCGGUGAAAUUCUUAGAGAUGACAUAGAACACCGAUUGCGAAGGCAGCUCACUAAAUUGUAACUGACGCUAAGGCACGAAAGCGUGGGGAUCAAACAGG